rnacentral:rRNA from 1 species
AGGAUCAUUAUCGUAUGAUAGAGGUGCCGGGGUUGUUGCUGACCUUUGAAAGGGUCGUGCACACCACGGUGCUCUCACAUAUUCCAUUUCACCCCUUUUGUGCAUUACCGCAUGGGGACCCCUCUUAGCUAGUUCUGAGAGGUGUCUUCAUGUUUUUACAAAUUUUAACGCAAUGUGCAGAAUGUCUUACUUUUUGCGAUCACACGCGAUCAAUACAACUUUCAACAACGGAUCUCUUGGCUCUCGCAUCGAUGAAGAACGCAGCGAAAUGCGAUACGUAAUGUGAAUUGCAGAAUUCAGUGAAUCAUCGAAUCUUUGAACGCACCUUGCGCCCUUUGGCAUUCCGAGGGGCACACCCGUUUGAGUGUCGUGACAUCUUCAAACCUUCUUGGCUUCUUGACCGGGAAGGCUUUGGACUUUGGAGGCUUUUGCUGGCAUUCCUUUGUUGGAGACAGCUCCUCUGAAAUGGAUUAGUGGGGUCUGCUUUGCCUAUCCUCGACGUGAUAAGAUGUUUUCUACGUCUUGAGAUUUGCACUGUUUCCUGCUUCCAACCGUCUUACAGAAGACAAUGGUCAAGUGAUUGCCACUUGACCGCAUGAACCUUGACCUCAAAUCGGGUGAGACUACCCGCUGAACUUAA